UUUUUUUUUAUAUAUAUAUAUUGUCGGUGCAAGCAGGUAUUGGGUAUUUAAACAAACCAUGAUAUUUCCCCUAUCGAUUGAGAUGAAAGGUGAAAAUAACGAACAGUGACCAAUCUCAUAACUCCUAUAAAGAAUACAAAAUUAAGAGUAGGGCAAACACGGACCACUGACUAUACCAAAGGUGGAAUCAGGUGCCUAGGGGGAGAAAGCACCCCCUGUCGAUCGGUCACACCCGCCAUGAGCUCUAUAUCUUGAUAAGGUGAAUGGAGUUAUUCGUAGUCAAAAUCAGUGUGCCAGGAACGACCUAACAAUCGGUAUGAAACAUGUCAGACAGCAUUUGACCCAAUGAUAGAUUGUAUUGGCAAACAAGAUCGUUAUAACGACCACAGAAUUUGUGAAUUGCUGACUUUAAACGAGAGUGUUGAAACCCCUGCACCAUCAACUUGUUUGUCAGUAGUCUGCUUCGAUUUAAACACUGAUCAUACACAGAACAAGCUUUUGCAUAUCGAAUCUGUUGAGAGAUAUAAACACCAUAUGCAGGUGAUAGUGGAAUAUUGAGCACACUAAUAAAUAUGAUAAAUCUAGAUUGUAAAAUUCAAAGUCCAUAAAAUAUAGUACAAUGGAUAUGCAUGAAAAUUUGAGGUAGCGAUUUUUGGGAUUCCGGAUUCUCUCCUCGUGUAAGUAUAGAAUAAAUGGUGUCAAAUUUUGAUGAGACAAAAAUUUGUGACAAUCCCUUGACGACAGAUCGUCUUCUUACAAGCUUUCUUUCCGAAAUGAGUCAAGUGCUGACCACAUGACUGUCUUAUGAGCAUACCACCUAGAAUAAUGAAUUUAGUCAGACAGAUCCUUAUUCCUUUAUCUGCAGUAAAAGAACUUAUACCGACAUCAUCCAUUGUUUUCUUACCGACCACGUGUGAAAAAGCCAAGCGCAAUGCAUGCAUUAAUAAUUAAACAAAUAAGGUCAACUGAAGAUGUCCGAGAGUAAAUUAAUCAAGAAUGAACUAAAUAUUUCAUCUGGGAUGAAAUCAAAUAGUUUACGUUGCACAAGAUAUUGUGUUUCGCCAUUAUAGAUACAUUAACCAUAUUGGAAUUGUUGAAUUAUUAGUGUCUAUGUAACAAGGCGCCUAAAUUUCCUUGUUUACAGAAUGUAAAGGCGCACAGGCGGCCUUUUAGAAUUACCUCGUCCCCCACCAGGCCGGUGCCUGCGGCCACGUCUAAGAUCCGGAUCUUAUCUUUGUUGUUGGGGAAGCUUCGGUCCACGGCUUCAGCAGUGUAGGCCGGUCCAUUGUAGCGUCCAGGCUGUAGGUCCUAGAAAUUAGAAAAUGAGAAAAAUCGCUCUAAAAGCCUAUUUGGUUACAGGAAAGAUAAUGUAUCAAAAAGAUCCUUUUGUUUUUUUUUUUCUUUUUCUUGAUGAACAUUUCUCCUUUUCAAAUGAUGACACUUUUCUAAACAGAAGACCCCUUUAUCAAUUUGACAUAUCGGCCAGGAAUUAUUUGAAGUAAGGAGUGUAGUGGUUGAUUGACAUAGAUCUAGGAGAAGCCUGCGAGAUGUAAAGAUACAGAUUUUUUUCUUCACCCCAAAUGAAUAAAAGCACAAUCGGAGUCGUUUUGAAUAUCUUUGAUUACGUACAAUAUUGAACGUUUUUCAUGCCUUGUAUAGCCCUUAUGCCUCCGUAAUCAGAGAUUAUUCGGGGUAUAUAGUUUUUGUCUGUUUUUCUAUUUGUCGGGGAAAAAACCCCUUUAACUUUGGCCAUAACUUUUGAAUGGAUGGUGAUAUGGCUUUCAUAUUUCACAUGUGUAUUCCUUGUGGCAAAGACCUUUCUUUUUGUACCUAGAUUACCUUGGCUAUUCGGGGACAUCAGUGUUUUACAAACACCAAACAUAUCUUAUUUCUAUUGUAACUUCCAAUUCAAUAAAGAUAUAGACUUUUUUACUGCACAAUGAUAAGGGAUAUUAUCAUUUAUAGUAAUAGUUCGUUUAAUUUAUAGAUUGUUUUGUAAUAUAUAUAUAUAUAUUUAUAUAUAUACUAAUAUAUUUAACUUGUUCUUUAUAAGUGUGCAGUAGUACUUACCAGCUCAUAACCAUCCCAGGUGUUGUAGUAGUCAAUCACCUGUACUUUAUCCAUACCACCAGAGAAAACUCGGGCGUUAGUUUGAAAAGCUUCUAUGUCGGAGGAAUUCAUAUCUGUUGUGUUACAGGAUCUGUUUGAAGUAUUUAAUAAAAGGAUGAAAGCUUCGGUUGUGCAGAAUUUAAAAAGCGUUUGUAUUUUUAAAUUUAUAUACAUCAUUAUGAUUAUGAGGAGUACUCCUAUACAAAAAAUUGCUUUCUAAAUUCUUAAUAAGUAUUCACACGACACUAUCAUUAUCUGCUAUCCCAGAAACUGUUGUGUGAGGCAGUUGGGUUAUUUCAUUUAUCAUGUUGUUAAUUUAAAUCUUGUCUGUAAUAAGUACUUCAUAUAUAAUUAUAUAGAUAUGUGCAGUGCAGAAGUGUGAACUCUGUCAGUAUUACCGGUAGUAUUUCUAAAUGAUUGUUAUUUAUUUUCAUUGUUAUAAUUAAUUGCCUGUUAACAUGUACAUGCCCCACGAGGGCCCUUGAUUGGUGAAUAAACUAUAUCAUAGGUAGGGAAAACGCGUUUAGCCUUGUACAUACUAGUAUUCAUUUCCUAUAUCAUGAUUUCUUUUAACUUACAUUUUAGAUGAGAUAAUGUACAGUUGUUUGUACAGGGGAACUUUUUUGCAUUUUUGACGCAAAAAUCUGGUUAUCAUGAAACAUUUCGUGCGUGUACAUUUUAUGAAAAGGUACAGAAAACGGACAGUGAUCAAUCUCAUAACUCUUAUAAAGAAUACAAAAUUAAGAGUAGGGCAAACACGGACCACUGACCAUACCAAAAGUGGAACCAGGUGCCUAGGAGGCAAAAGCAUCCCCUGUCGACCGGUCAUACUCUCCAUGAGCCCUAUAUUUUGAUCAGGUAAAUGGAGUAAUCCCUAGUCCAAAUCAAUUUGUAAAGAACGGCCUUUAGUCAGACAGCAUUUGACCCUCUGACAGACUGAGGCGGUAAAUCAGAUCGUUACAACGACCAUAGAAUUUGUGAAUUGCUGACUUUAAACGAGACUGUUGAAACCCCUGACUAUUAACUUUUUUGUCAGUAGCCUGCCUCGAUUUAAAAACUGAUCAUACUCAGAACAAGCUCUUGCAUAUCGAAUCAGUUGAAAAUUAAUGAAAGGACUAGGAUCGACAACAAUAAUUUUUGGACCUGAAAUUUAAAACA